UGAGAUUGGCAACUCCUUCCCCACAAAACUCUGCCGCUUGCGUCCUCAACGCAGCAUUUUGGCGACAAUGCGCAGCUGCGGAAAGGGGUGACCAGCGCACAUUAUUUAACCUACUGAUUCCUCGAUUAAUGUAAUGUUAUUGGUAUCUAUUUUUACAGUAGAGUCUCACUUAUCCAACAUAAACGGGCCAGCAGAACGUUGGAUAAUAAUAAGGAGGGAUUGAGGAAAAACCUAUUGAACAUCAAAUUAGGUUAUGAUUUUACAAAUUAAGCACCAAAACAUCAUGUUAUACAACAAAUUUGACAGAAAAAGUAGUUCAAUACACAGUAAUGCUAUGUAGUAAUUGCUGUAUUUACGAACUUAGCACCAAAAUAUCAUGAUGUAUUGAAAACAUUGACUACAAAAAUGCGUUGGAUAAUCCAGAACGUUGGAUAAGUGGGACUCUAUUGUAUUUUGAAAUUUACCAGUAGUUGCUUCAUUUCCCACCCUUGGCUUAUACUCAGGUCAAUAAGUUAUCCCCGUUUUUUGUGGUAAAAUUAGGUGCCUCGGCUUAUAUUCGGGUCGGCUUAUACUCGAUAAUAACAACAACAAAGAAAGAAAGGAAAAAUAAAGUCCUAAUUAGAGAGAGAGGAAUAAUUGCUUUUAUCCAAUUGCUGCCAGUUAGAAGGCUAAGCUCCUCCAACUUGGUCUCCUAGCAACCCAAUAAAAAAAUAAAAAACACUAAAAAUAAUUAAAAACACUAAAAGAUUAAUACAAUAAAAUACUAUAAUAACAGAAAAUAACUAAAAAUAAUAGAAGAAAAUAAUAAAAUAUAAUAAAUAAAAAGAUAACUUACAAUAAAAUUAAUAAAAAAUACAAAUAACGUCAAAUAAAAAUUACACAACAAUUUUUAACCAAUACCACCACCACUUUGCCACAGCAACGCGUGGCCGGGCACAGCUAGUAUAUAUAUAUAUAUAUAUCUGUGCCCGGCCACGUGUUGCUAUGUCUUAUGGGAAUGCUUUGUUGGCCAGGUGGAAUAGCAGUGAAUAGCUUUGCAGUCUCAAAAGCCUGAACCCUGGCUGUACCCCGGUGUCAUUGUGGCUGAGACGGUUGCUAGGAGAUGAAGUAGGCGGGGCCUAAAGCGGGCAGGACCUACCCUUCUGACCAGCAACCAGGGUUGAAAAUGGCUCUUCCUCGUUCUCUAAUUUGGACUUUAUUUUCCAGGUUUUUU
rnacentral:lncRNA from 1 species